rnacentral:rRNA from 1 species
GACGAACGCUGGCGGCAUGCCUAACACAUGCAAGUCGAACGGAGAUUAUUUCGGUAAUCUUAGUGGCGAACGGGUGAGUAACGCGUGGGCAACCUGCCCUCUAGAUGGGGACAACAUCCCGAAAGGGGUGCUAAUACCGAAUGUGACAGCAAUCCCGCAUGAGGAUGCUGUGAAAGAUGGCCUCUAUUUAUAAGCUAUCGCUAGAGGAUGGGCCUGCGUCUGAUUAGCUAGUUGGUGGGGUAACGGCCUACCAAGGCGAAGAUCAGUAGCCGGUCUGAGAGGAUGAACGGCCACAUUGGGACUGAGACACGGCCCAGACUCCUACGGGAGGCAGCAGUGGGGAAUCUUCCGCAAUGGGCGAAAGCCUGACGGAGCAAUGCCGCGUGAGUGAUGAAGGAAUUCGUUCCGUAAAGCUCUUUUGUUUAUGACGAAUGUGCAGAUUGUGAACAAUGAUCUGUAAUGACGGUAGUAAACGAAUAAGCCACGGCUAACUACGUG